rnacentral:tRNA from 1 species
UAGCCAUUUGCUCAGUUGGUAGAGCAUCUGACUUUUAAUCAGAGGGUCAGAGGUUCGAAUCCUCUAUGGCUCACCA